rnacentral:misc_RNA from 1 species
AAGUCGUAACAAGGUUUCCGUAGGUGAACCUGCGGAAGGAUCAUUAACACGUAUCCAACGUUAAACCCCCCGUGAACCUUCAGUGCGCUCGCACUUUCUUAGAAAAGGUAGCAAUCCCUGGUAAAUCAUUGCCGAACAGUUUUGAUUCAGGGACUUCUGCGUAGACUGUGCUUGAGCGUGAGGCAAGUGGCCUGGCAUUCCUCUGCUUGUUGGUGUCUGAAAGUGUCACCAGCUCUGUACGAAUGGCGCAGUCACGAUCGCUAGAGGCCGACGGCCGGCGACCAAACGGGCCUGCGCUUAAUUGUGCGGCCACCAAACUCGAACAACUGUUAACAAUGGAUCUCUGAUCUCUUGGUUCUC